rnacentral:rRNA from 1 species
CUUUCUUUGCUGGCGACCGGCGCACGGGUGAGUAACACGUAUCCAACCUGCCCUUUACUCGGGGAUAGCCUUUCGAAAGAAAGGUUAAUACCCGAUGGCAUAAUGAUUCCGCAUGGUUUCAUUAUUAAAGGAUUCCGGUAAAGGAUGGGGAUGCGUUCCAUUAGGUUGUUGGUGAGGUAACGGCCCACCAAGCCUUCGAUGGAUAGGGGUUCUGAGAGGAAGGUCCCCCACAUUGGAACUGAGACACGGUCCAA